rnacentral:siRNA from 1 species
UGAAAUACCACUACUUUUAAC